ensembl:misc_RNA 7SK 7SK RNA
GGAUGUGAGGACGAUCUGGCUGUGACAUCUGUCACUGCAUUGAUCACCAGGGUUGAUUCGGCUGAUCUGGCUGGGUAGGCAGGUGUUCCCUUCCUCCCUGACCACUCCAUGUGCAACCUUUUGAAGCUGUGUUCUUGGUUGAAGAGGAUGACCAUUCGUUGAUUGAGAGUAUAUAAGUAGCUGCACUCCACUGCCAGAACCUCCAAGUAAGCUCUCAAGGUCCAUUUAUUAUUCUGAGAACUUCUCCAAAAUAUCUCU